rnacentral:rRNA from 1 species
AGCGUAGGUGGCCUAACAUGUCAACUGUGAAAAACCCGGAGCUCAACUCCGGACUUGCAGUUGAAACUGGUAGGCUUGAGGACGGUAGAGGAAGACGGAACUGCCAGUGUAGGGGUAAAAUCCUUAGAUAUUGGCAGGAACGCCGGUGACGAAGGUGGUUUUCUGGGCCGGUUCUGACACUGAUGCUCGAAAGCCAGGGGAGCGAACGG